CUUGAUCGACCCCAGCCACAGGGGCUCCGUGCGUUCCUGCCCGUACACCGCCAGCAGGGCCUGCGCCUC
rnacentral:antisense_RNA from 1 species